CAAAUAUUUCAUUUGAUCUUUCCAACACCCUCAUGAGGAAGACUAGGGUGAUCUGAGAGUACUGGCUGCCUUUUGAGAAGGAGGCUGGAGGCUGCCAAAAACAUCACAAAGAGGACUCAAAGAGGAAGUGGACCAUUCAAAAUGGACCUGCUUGGCUUUUCUGGGGCCUAAGACUUUUUAUAAAAGAGAUAUAUGAGUGCAUUCCCAUCUCACUAAAGGUUUGCUGUCAAAUGAGGAUCAAAUGAGAUAAUA